CAACUCCUACGGGGAGGCAGCAGUGAGGAAUAUUGGUCAAUGGGCGGUAGCCUGAACCAGCCAAGUAGCGUGAAGGAUGAAGGCUCCUAUGGGUCCGUAAACUUCCUUUUAUAUAAGAAUAAAGUGCAGUAUGUAUACUGUUUUGUAUGUAUUAUAUGAAUAAGGAUCGGCUAACUCCGUGCCAGCACCCGCGGUAA
rnacentral:rRNA from 1 species